CGCUGACCCCCGGCGGCUCAGACCCCCGCGGACCCGCCCCUCCGAUCCCUCGACGAUGAUAAGAAUCAAAUGAGUUAAUACCUAUAAAGCACAUAAAACAGUGCCUGGCACGCAGUAAGCUUUUAUGGCAGUUUUGGAACAUGACUGCAAGUUCUUGGACACUACUUAGUGACUUCCUUGGAACCAAAAGAAUGCAGCAGAAAAGAUGUUGUAGAACUUCCAAGGCUAGGUCAGAAGAGACCGUACAGCUUCCACCUGUUCUCCUGGGAUUCUCACUCUGGGAGAAACAAAGUAAGAAGUUUGACUACCCCAAGACUCCCGUGCUAGUGAGGCCAUAUGUAAGCAUGUAAGUCAAAGGUACAGCUGAGCUCCUAGCAGACCGCCCGCAUCAACUGCCAGCCUCGGGAGACAUCUUGGAUAUCCAACACUGUCGAGCCUUCAGCUGAGGGCUGUCCCUCCUGGCAUCUGACUGCAGGUGCAUGAGAGGCCCCAAGCAAGAGCUGCCCAGACCAGCCCUUCCUGAUCCACAAAAUCAUGAGCAAAAUAAAGUAGUAAACUGGU